rnacentral:rRNA from 1 species
AGUGAACGCUGGCGGCGUGCUUAACACAUGCAAGUCGAACGAGAACGGAGUAUAGCUUGCUAUAAUUGUCAGCUAAGUGGCGCACGGGCGAGUAAUGUAUAGGUAAUAUGCCUCUUACUAAGGGAUAACAACUGGAAACGUUUGCUAAUACCUUAUACUCCUUAUUAACAGAAGUUAAUAAUGGAGAGAUUUAUUGGUAAGAGAUUAGCCUUUAUUGUAUCAGUUAGUUGGUGGGGUAAUGGCUUACCAAGACUAUGACACAUAAAUGGUUUGAGAGGAUGAUCAGUCACACUGGAACUGAGACACGGUCCAGACUCCUACGGGAGGCAGCAGUGGGGAAUAUUGCACAAUGGACGAAAGUCUGAUGCAGCAACGCCGCGUGGAGGAUGAAACAUUUCGGUGCGUAAACUCCUUUUAUAUAAGAAGAUAAUGACGGUAUUAUAUGAAGAAGCACCGGCUAACUACGUGCCAGCAGCCGCGGUAA